CUCUGAGUGUUGCAAUGGCAAAGUUUCUGGCAGGGUGUGGGGGACCCUUGCUCAAUGACCUCCUGCCCUGUUGCUCAGAGGAUACCGCUGCCAGAAAAGGGUUGGCUCAUUGUGGGGCUUCCCAAGGUACUCUGGUAGCCCCAGCUUCUGACCUGGUCCUUUCUCUGGUAUGGGGAUAGGAGGAGAGCUCCGGAGGUCUCUGACCCCUCCCAAGGAUCAUGCCGCAGCCCCACUGACCCAGGAGUAGGGGCCUAAGGGCAGGGAACCUGGAAUGGGCUGUGUGUUCUGCAAGAAAUUGGAGCCGGCGCCCACGGCCAAGGAGGAUGCUGGCCUGGAAGGGGACUUCAGAAGCUACGGGGCAGCAGACCACUAUGGGCCUGACCCCACUAAGGCCCGGCCUGCAUCCUCAUUUGCCCACAUCCCCAACUACAGCAACUUCUCCUCUCAGGCCAUCAACCCUGGCUUCCUUGAUAGUGGCACCAUCAGGGGUGUGUCAGGUGAGUCCAAGGGGUCGGAGGCAGGAGCUGCCUGGAUCCUGGGAGAAACUGAGGGAAGAAGAAGAGAUGCGAACUUGCCCUUAGGAGCCUCCAGGAGGAUGUGGCAGAUACAACCCCGCUUUCAAGAUCACAUGGGCUGAGGGAGUCUGUACAGCCCUACCAUCAGAAACCACAGUCUGCAGGGGAGGGUCAAGAAGCUCUACUCCCAGUCUGAGAGGGGCAGGAUCCUGUGACAGAUGCAAGUGACAAAGAGAAACUUCUUGCCCUUUUAGGUGCCACUUCCC
rnacentral:sRNA from 1 species